rnacentral:rRNA from 1 species
UACGGGGGGAGCAAGCGUUGUCCGGAAUGAUUGGGCGUAAAGCGUCCGCAGGUGGCAAUGUAAGUCUGCUGUCAAAGCGUCUGGCUCAACCAGAUAAAGGCAGUGGAAACUACAUAGCUAGAGUAAGGUAGGGGUAGAGGGAAUUCCUGGUGUAGCGGUGAAAUGCGUAGAGAUCAGGAAGAGCACCGGUGGCGAAAGCGCUCUGCUGGACCUAAACUGACACUGAGGGACGAAAGCUAGGGGAGCGAAUGGG